UGGGGAAUAUUGGGCAAUGGGCGCAAGCCUGACCCAGCAACGCCGCGUGAAGGAAGAAGGCUUUCGGGUUGUAAACUUCUUUUCUCAGGGACGAAGCAAGUGACGGUACCUGAGGAAUAAGCCACGGCUAACUACGUGCCAGCAGCCGCGGUAAUACGUAGGUGGCAAGCGUUAUCCGGAUUUACUGGGUGUAAAGGGCGUGUAGGGCGGGAUCGCAAGUCAGAUGUGAAAAAGCUGGAGGCUCAACCUCCAGCCUGCAUUUGAAACUGUGGUUCUUGAGUACUGGAGAGGCAGACGGAAUUCCUAGUGUAGCGGUGAAAUGCGUAGAUAUUAGGAGGAACACCAGUGGCGAAGGCGGCUUACUGGACGGUAACUGACGUUGAGGCUCGAAAGCGUGGGGAGCAACAGAUUAGAUACC
rnacentral:rRNA from 1 species